AGAGUUUGAUCCUGGCUCAGGACGAACGCUGGCGGCGCGCCUAACACAUGCAAGUCGAACGAGCGAGAGAGAGCUUGCUUUCUCGAGCGAGUGGCGAACGGGUGAGUAACGCGUGAGGAACCUGCCUCAAAGAGGGGGACAACAGUUGGAAACGACUGCUAAUACCGCAUAAGCCCACGGCUCGGCAUCGAGCAGAGGGAAAAGGAGCAAUCCGCUUUGAGAUGGCCUCGCGUCCGAUUAGCUAGUUGGUGAGGUAACGGCCCACCAAGGCGACGAUCGGUAGCCGGACUGAGAGGUUGAACGGCCACAUUGGGACUGAGACACGGCCCAGACUCCUACGGGAGGCAGCAGUGGGGAAUAUUGCACAAUGGGGGAAACCCUGAUGCAGCGACGCCGCGUGGAGGAAGAAGGUCUUCGGAUUGUAAACUCCUGUUGUUGGGGAAGAUAAUGACGGUACCCAACAAGGAAGUGACGGCUAACUACGUGCCAGCAGCCGCGGUAAAACGUAGGUCACAAGCGUUGUCCGGAAUUACUGGGUGUAAAGGGAGCGCAGGCGGGAAGACAAGUUGGAAGUGAAAUCUAUGGGCUCAACCCAUAAACUGCUUUCAAAACUGUUUUUCUUGAGUAGUGCAGAGGUAGGCGGAAUUCCCGGUGUAGCGGUGGAAUGCGUAGAUAUCGGGAGGAACACCAGUGGCGAAGGCGGCCUACUGGGCACCAACUGACGCUGAGGCUCGAAAGUGUGGGUAGCAAACAGGAUUAGAUACCCUGGUAGUCCACACCGUAAACGAUGAUUACUAGGUGUUGGAGGAUUGACCCCUUCAGUGCCGCAGUUAACACAAUAAGUAAUCCACCUGGGGAGUACGACCGCAAGGUUGAAACUCAA
rnacentral:rRNA from 1 species